rnacentral:rRNA from 2 species
AGGCAACUUGGGGUUAUAUGGUCAAGCGAAUAAGCGCACACGGUGGAUGCCUAGGCGGUCAGAGGCGAUGAAGGACGUGGUAGCCUGCGAAAAGUGUCGGGGAGUUGGCAACAAGCUUUGAUCCGGCAAUAUCCGAAUGGGGAAACCCACUGCUUCGGCAGUAUCCUGCAGUGAAUUCAUAGCUGCUGGAAGCGAACCCGGUGAACUGAAAUAUCUAAGUAACCGGAGGAAAAGAAAUCAACCGAGAUUCCCUAAGUAGUGACGAGCGAACGGGGAGAAGCCCUUAAGCUGGAAUGGCUUUAGAAAAACAAUCUGGAAAGAUUGGCCAUAGAAGGUGAUAGCCCUGUAUUUAAAAGGGCCACUCCAGUGAAGACGAGUAGGGCGGGGCACGUGAAACCCUGUCUGAAUAUGGGGGGACCAUCCUCCAAGGCUAAAUACUCCUGACCGACCGAUAGUGAACCAGUACCGUGAGGGAAAGGCGAAAAGAACCCCGGAGAGGGGAGUGAAAUAGAUCCUGAAACCGUGUGCGUACAAGCAGUAGGAGCUCGCAAGAGUGACUGCGUACCUUUUGUAUAAUGGGUCAGCGACUUACUGUUCGUGGCAAGCUUAACCGUAUAGGGGAGGCGAAGGGAAACCGAGUCUGAUAAGGGCGCAUAGUCGCGGGCAGUAGACCCGAAACCGGGUGAUCUAGUCAUGGCCAGGGUGAAGGUGCCGUAACAGGUACUGGAGGCCCGAACCCACGUCUGUUGCAAAAGACGGGGAUGAGCUGUGAUUAGGAGUGAAAAGCUAAUCGAACCCGGAGAUAGCUGGUUCUCCUCGAAAGCUAUUUAGGUAGCGCCUCAUAUGUAUCCUCUCGGGGGUAGAGCACUGUUAUGGCUAGGGGGUCAUCGCGACUUACCAAACCAUUGCAAACUCCGAAUACCGAGACGGACUGUAUGGGAGACACACGGCGGGUGCUAACGUCCGUCGUGAAAAGGGAAACAACCCAGACCCACAGCUAAGGUCCCAAAUUCACUGCUAAGUGGAAAACGAUGUGGAAAGGCAUAGACAGCCAGGAGGUUGGCUUAGAAGCAGCCACCCUUUAAAGAAAGCGUAAUAGCUCACUGGUCGAGUCGGUCUGCGCGGAAGAUUUAACGGGGCUAAGCAGUGAACCGAAGCUUGGGGUGCAUAAAACUUGUUUUAUGCGCGGUAGAGGAGCGUUCCGUAAGCCUGCGAAGGUGGAUUGAGAAGUCUGCUGGAGGUAUCGGAAGUGCGAAUGCUGACAUGAGUAACGAUAAUGCGGGUGAAAAGCCCGCACGCCGAAAGCCCAAGGUUUCCUUGCGCAACGUUAAUCGACGCAGGGUUAGUCGGUCCCUAAGGCGAGGGCGAAAGCCGUAGUCGAUGGGAAGCAGGUUAAUAUUCCUGCACCUCGCGUGAGUGCGAUGGAGGGACGGAGAAGGUUAGGUGUACCGGGCGUUGGUUGUCCCGGGGAAAGGCGGUAGGUUUGGAUCUUUGGCAAAUCCGGGAUCCUUUAAGACCGAGCACCGAGACGAGCCUUUAUGGCGAAGUCACUGAUACCACGCUUCCAGGAAAAGCUCCUAAGCUUCAGCUCACGAAGACCGUACCGUAAACCGACACAGGUGGGUAGGAUGAGAAUUCUCAGGCGCUUGAGAGAACUCGGGUGAAGGAACUAGGCAACAUGGCACCGUAACUUCGGGAGAAGGUGCACCCUUUUUGGUGGCUCGUGCGAGCUAUAGCUGAAGAGGGUCGCAGAAACCAGGCCGCUGCGACUGUUUAUCAAAAACACAGCACUCUGCAAACACGAAAGUGGACGUAUAGGGUGUGACGCCUGCCCGGUGCUGGAAGGUUAAUUGAUGGGGUCAGCCGCAAGGCGAAGCUCUUGAUCGAAGCCCCAGUAAACGGCGGCCGUAACUAUAACGGUCCUAAGGUAGCGAAAUUCCUUGUCGGGUAAGUUCCGACCUGCACGAAUGGCGUAACGACAGCGGCGCUGUCUCCACCCGAGACUCAGUGAAAUUGAAAUCGCUGUGAAGAUGCAGCGUUCCCGUGGCAAGACGGAAAGACCCCGUGAACCUUUACUAUAGCUUUACACUGAACGUUGAGUUCGUCUGUGUAGGAUAGGUGGGAGGCUAUGAAACUGUGGCGCUAGCUGCAGUGGAGCCAUCCUUGAAAUACCACCCUGUCGUGCUUGACGUUCUAACCUAGGUCCGUUAUCCGGAUCAGGGACCGUGUAUGGUGGGUAGUUUGACUGGGGCGGUCUCCUCCUAAAGAGUAACGGAGGAGCACGAAGGUACGCUCAGCGCGGUCGGACAUCGCGCACUGUGUGCAAAGGCAUAAGCGUGCUUGACUGCAAGAUCGACGGAUCAAGCAGGUACGAAAGUAGGUCUUAGUGAUCCGGUGGUUCUGUAUGGAAGGGCCAUCGCUCAACGGAUAAAAGGUACUCCGGGGAUAACAGGCUGAUACCGCCCAAGAGUUCAUAUCGACGGCGGUGUUUGGCACCUCGAUGUCGGCUCAUCACAUCCUGGGGCUGUAGUCGGUCCCAAGGGUAUGGCUGUUCGCCAUUUAAAGUGGUACGCGAGCUGGGUUCAGAACGUCGUGAGACAGUUCGGUCCCUAUCUGCCAUGGGCGUUGGAAGUUUGAGAGGGGCUGCUCCUAGUACGAGAGGACCGGAGUGGACGAACCUCUGGUGUUCCGGUUGUCACGCCAGUGGCAUUGCCGGGUAGCUAUGUUCGGAAGCGAUAACCGCUGAAAGCAUCUAAGCGGGAAGCGCGCCUCAAGAUGAGACUUCCCGGGGCACAAGCCCCCUAAAGGAACCAUGUAGACUACGUGGUUGAUAGGUCAGGUGUGUAAGUACAGCAAUGUAUUGAGCUAACUGAUACUAAUGAUCCGUGCGGCUUGACC